UCCGUUAUGGUGUAGUGGCUAACAUUAUCGCCUCUCAUUUGCAAGGGCAAUCUACCUUUGAUUAAUUUGCGAGCGCGAUAGCCCAGGGUUCGAUUCCCUGUAACGGAA